UACGUAGGUGGCAAGCGUUGUCCGGAUUUACUGGGCGUAAAGAGCGCGCAGGCGGUCGUUCAAGUCGCGUGUGAAAGCCCCCGGCUCAACUGGGGAGGGUCACGCGAUACUGAUCGACUCGAAGGCAGGAGAGGGUAGUGGAAUUCCCGGUGUAGUGGUGAAAUGCGUAGAUAUCGGGAGGAAUACCUAUGGCGAAAGCAGGCUACUGGACCGUCACUGACUCUGAUCUGCGAAAGCUAGGGGAGCAAACAGG
rnacentral:rRNA from 1 species